AGAAGAAUGCAGCUACUGAAUGGCCUAUGGAAAUAAAAUGGAAAAAACUGUUGGAUCAUCUUGUUAAUCCUUUUCACCUGCCAGUGCAGGAUUGUUCCUAAUAGUAUGUUUUCAUGUGCUUUGUAGAGUCUAAUUUUAAAUUACUCAAGCAAAAGUGUUUCCAUAACUUCCCUUGGGAGACUGUUCCACAGUGUAAUAGACAUUACAGUUAGCAAAUGUUUCCUCGUACCUACGAUUUUAGCUGCAAGAUAAACGGAUUCAUCUGAGUGGUAUUUUUGUCAUAAAAUUCCAACCCAUAACAUCACCCAUUUCAGUAACAAGUUAACGCAUGUCUUAAACUGGCCAGCGAACCAGUCAGAUUGUAGGAAGUUUUGAUUUUUGACGUACAACCAACUCCCAGAAUGUGGCAUUGUAACCUGCCUAUCCUAUCCUUUUGCAGCCUAAUUUGCUAGCAUUAUAAUUUUACCAUAUAGUGUAAACUUCCGAUGUUCUAUAAAAGUUUGAUUAGCCACUUACGUCUGAAGGAUUUUUUAAAUGAAUAGUUGCAAAAUAUAAUAGAUUUGUUUAAAAGUCUGUGACUCCUUUCAAAAGCCAGUGAUUUAACAUUCCUUUUUGUAUCUGGCUUGUAACUGCACAGUGUAGUUUUUAGGGGUCUUUGAUGUAUACACAUCAUAAUAUUGUGGCAGUUGGGUAUUUUAUUUUGUGAAAGUGCAGCUCUUUAUGUACACUAACAAGCAACCAAACCUGCAGCUAUACUAGUAACUGAAGCACUUGGGUGCUACUAGCUGACUCACCACACUUAGUUGUAUUGACAUAUUAGCGCAGCAUAGGAGAAAGAGGCUAGAAAUGAGCAAAGUAUAUGUUUAAAUUAGAGAUAGACUCAAGCCUCUAAGCUUGGGUUCGGUUCUUUGAACAUAACAAUAUUUCAUGAUGGUUCAGUUCUGGGGUCUUGGUUUGGGGCCUUCUCCAAUGUAAGUACCAAGGGACGUAUUCCAUGCUCAGAGGACAGCUCACUGAUACAGAAUGAUGAAGAUCUCUUGUUGAAAGGAAAACAUCAGCGCUCCUGCACCAGUGUUUUAGCAAACUCUUCUGAUACUGAUAAUGUAGCCUUGUUUCCUUUAUUGUAGUUAGUUACACCUGUAGUGAAUACUAGCAAGAGUUUCACCAUAUCCAUUCACUUCAGCCUUUUGACAGUAACUCUGGGUCAGUGCAGCUUUUUUUGUACUGCGCUGUCUUUAUUGGUAUUAAUAUGCUAAUGGUCUGCUGCUGUGGAAUCUCAAUCCAGCCAAAUAGUCACCGUUGUGUUGCGGUGCUAAAACAACCCGUACCAUCUGAGGUUGGCAACGCUUAAUAAACUUCUCUUUCCAUCCUUAUAAUCCUUUGUCCAUGUAGUUAGUGUAUUCCUUCUGAAAUAGGAAUCCCUGGUGGAUUAGCAAUGCUGGAAGAAAGGCCUCCACCCGAACAGCUGCAGUAUGUUUGCACUGUGUGGGGAGGGAUCCAAGCUAUGGAUUUUUUUACGUUUUUAGCGAAGCUCCCCACUUCACUUGGUGGUUAAUUUCUUAUUGUGAAUGAGUAGUCCCAACCAAACAUGAUUCACUGUAGUAUACAGUUAGUAUAAAGAUCUGAAAUGGAAAGGACCAAUUAGGUCACCUUUUCUAUUUCCUUUAGGAAUGCAGGGCUGUUCCCUCCAGUGUGUUCUCUUGAGCGUCUUCCUAUCCAGUUAUAAAUGCACUAAGCAAUUGUGCUCCCACACAUCCCUUGAUGUUCCACAGUCUAACAGAUCUCACUGCUAAUGAAAUUUUUCAUGAUACCCAGUCUUUUUCCUUUGCCAAACCUAAUGCCAUUUUAUUUAUUAUUUUGGGGCAGAUUAUGACUGAGCCCUGCUCAGGCACAUAAGGUGUCAGGAAAUGCAAGAAGCUUUGGACCGCCAUGCAGGCAUUGACCACAGCAACAUUCCUUGCACUCCCUUGAGCACGAAAAGUGUGACUGCAUUUUUUCCAGUGGGGCAUUCACCAGCUGGAAAGGGUUUGCUUUUUCUCCAGCCUUCUGGAACCUCCUUAAUUCUCUGGGUCUCUUCAGAGAUAACUGCCUGUAGUUCACUAAAUGCUUUAGCUAAAUUCCCUUUACCCUUUAGGGUGCAUACCAGCCAGACCCUGCUAAUCUGCAUAUAUUUAAUUUUUCCACAUUUUCACUUACUGGCAUGCAGUGCCUUUCUGCUUUGAAAUCUGAACUAAGCAUCUUCCUCUCCGGCAUGUUGUUGUGGAUGUUUAUAGAUACGGGUGUUAGUAGUUCUUUUAGUCAAUGGUUAAUCAAUAGUUCUAGAUUGCUUAUAACCAUAUAUAAUACCUUCUACUGAUGUGCUUAUAAUCAUCUAUAAUACCUACUGUUAACAUUUUUAACAUCUCUAAAUCAUGUAUAAACCUGUUGUAAACUAAUAUAAACAAUGAACAAUGCUUCCCUUCCUCACAGGGGUGUUCACAGGGAUGAAUUCGUUCAUGUUUGGGAGAUGCUCAUAUCCUCUUGUGAUGCAGGGUGAGGAGAAGGGGAUGGGGGGCAAUAAGUGUCCAUUUUUUGCCAAACCUCUUGAGUGGUUGCAAAUGUUUCCUGCACAAGAAUGGGGGUUUUUUUAAAGCCCAUUUCUCAGUCUCAUUCAUACAUGCUCCAAGAAUGGUGAUUCAUUCAAGUUACUACCUUAAUAUACCUGACUCAGGGAAGCGUUCUAUGACGGAAAUAUUUGCAGCCAGAAACAACAAUUGCAUUGUCGUCAUGAUCAGCAGUUCUCAUCCUUCAUGUGUUACAGCUGUAAAUAGAAUGAUUUUUUACCUACUUAUUACCAAAAUUGUACAAUUACUAUGAAAUCCAUAUUAAAUAUUAUAGUAAUAUACAGCAAAUAUUAACAAAUGAAAAUGUGUGCUAAGGGGGAUAAAUAGAAAGAGGAUUCAGGAAGCAAAAUGUUAACUGAUGUUGGCUACCAGAAGCAAAACAAAAGGGGGAAAAAACUUGUUAGGGGGACGAGACCAAGAUAUUAAAAACCAAUUAACUAAUCCAGUGUCUAGGUGGGGAAACUGGGCACUUAUGCUCAGGCAGAGAAUUCUCUGCGCUUUUCAUAAAUUGCAUUUAUUGACUCCUCUUUCUUGCCUAUCAUGCUUGUUAUCACUUCACCCUUUCUUCAAUAUGCUCUUCAUUUCUCUCCCUCUCUGUAAUCUUAUGUCUCAAUCUCGUCUUUUCUCCCCUUCUGAGAAAAGCCCGGAGAGCUGCUAAUACUAAGGAGUUUGACAUCUUGACUUCAAAUGUGUAAAUCUUUACCUGAAGUCCUAGGAAGCUGGUCUAAUAAAUAGAAGUGUAUUAUUCAUACUGUUGUAAUAGUGGGGGAGAAGGAUACUUAUUACUAUCAUUAAGGGUAGACGCUAUGGCAGAGUCCUCAUCGGCAUUUUU